rnacentral:rRNA from 1 species
GGAUGAACGCUGGCGGCGUGCCUAAUCCAUGCAAGUCGAGCGAACAGACGAGGAGCUUGCUCCUCUGACGUUAGCGGCGGACGGGUGAGUAACACGUGGAUAACCUACCUAUAAGACUGGGAUAACUUCGGGAAACCGGAGCUAAUACCGGAUAAUAUAUUGAACCGCAUGGUUCAAUAGUGAAAGACGGUUUUGCUGUCACUUAUAGAUGGAUCCGCGCCGCAUUAGCUAGUUGGUAAGGUAACGGCUUACCAAGGCAACGAUGCGUAGCCGACCUGAGAGGGUGAUCGGCCACACUGGAACUGAGACACGGUCCAGACUCCUACGGGAGGCAGCAGUAGGGAAUCUUCCGCAAUGGGCGAAAGCCUGACGGAGCAACGCCGCGUGAGUGAUGAAGGUCUUCGGAUCGUAAAACUCUGUUAUUAGGGAAGAACAAAUGUGUAAGUAACUAUGCACGUCUUGGCGGUACCUAAUCAGAAAGCCACGGCUAACUACGUG